CAAGGCAGCAACACAGAUGUGGAGAUGGCAGGGUGUUCUGAAUUCAGCCCGAAAAAAAAAAGAGAGGCAGAGAGCUCCGUGCCAUCCAGCAGGACAAGAUAAAUCCCAUGAAAGCUUCCCAAAGGAGCCCCAGAGAACAAGCAGGGGGGAGAGCUUCUCGCCAAAUCCAGGGCGAUGCCACUGCCACAGGGUUCAGUCUUGGCAGUCUUGUCAUCACCUUGAGGUUGCCAGGAAAUUGGCAGAGACUUCAAGAACUUACUGUCAUUUGGAUAGAGGU